rnacentral:rRNA from 1 species
CACGCCGUAAACGAUGGGCACUAGGUGCUUCGGGGAGCGACCCUCGGAGUGCCGGCGCUAACGCAUUAAGUGCCCCGCCUGGGGAGUACGGCCGCAAGGCUGAAACUCAAAGGAAUUGACGGGGGCCCGCACAAGCGGUGGAGCAUGUGGUUUAAUUCGACGCAACGCGAAGAACCUUACCUGGGCUUGACAUGCUGGGGAAGCCGGGGAGAGACCCUCAGUUGGCUCCCUCUUUCUCCCAUCAGUCCUCUUUUGUUUGUCCUGGAGAAGAGGGGGAGGGGUGGGU